AUACGUAGGUGGCAAGCGUUAUCCGGAAUUAUUGGGCGUAAAGAGUGAGCAGGCGGUUGAUUAAGUCUGAGGUUAAAGCGUGGGGCUCAACCCCAUAAAGCCUUGGAAACUGAUUGACUAGAGUACGGGAGAAGUGAAGGGAACUCCAUGUGUAGCGGUGAAAUGCGUAGAUAUAUGGAAGAACACCAGUGGCGAAGGCGCUUCACUAGCCCGAAACUGACGCUCAGUCACGAAAGCGUGGGUAGCAAAUAGGAUUAGAUACCCUAGUAGUCCACGCUGUAAACGAUGACAACUAAAUAUUGCCGCGAGGCAGUGUUGAAGCUAACGCAUUAAGUUGUCCGCCUGGGGAGUACGGUCGCAAGACUGAAACUUAAAUGAAUUGACGGGG
rnacentral:rRNA from 1 species